GCCAGGUAGCUCAGUUGGCUGGAGCAUUGUCCUGAUAUGCCAAGGUUGUGGGUUCGAUCCCCAGUCAUGGCA
rfam:Myotis davidii contig195882, whole genome shotgun sequence.